rnacentral:rRNA from 1 species
UAAUUCACCUACUUAUAAUAUAACUAAUUAAAAUUAAAUAAGUAAUAGCUACAUACUAUACUAUUAUUUAUAUCUGGUUAGAAAUUACAAUUACUCAUCACAUUUUGGAUAAGCAUAAUGUUAUUUUCUUUCCUAAGGAAUUAUUAUUAUUUGAGACCUAAACUAUCAACUUAAAUUAUCAUAAAUUACUAAUUUUUCACCAAGUAACAAUAUUCUAAUCCUACACCUAUUAAGAUAUAAUGUUAAAAUUAGUAAAUUAAAAAUAUUCUACCUUAAAACUCGACCCUCUUUAAGAAGCCAGUUUAGCAAAAACAUAGCCUAUAAACCCCUUUAGGUAUAACCCUGCCCUCUGAAUUUUAACAGCCGCGGUAUCCUAACCGUGCUAAGGUAGCAUAAUCACUUGCCUAUUAAUUAUAGGCUAGCAUGAAUGGGAUCACUGUCUUAAAAUUAUUUUCAUUAUAAUUUAAAUUAGAUUUUAAGUUAAAAUACUAAAUUCAAAAGAAAGACAAAAAGACCCUGAAAACUAUUAACAAAUUAGUUGGGGCAACUAUAGACUACAGUAGCGUCUAUUAACUAUAAAUAAUUAAAAUACAUAGUUCUCAGUUACUUCAGGGAUAACAGACUAAUUUUAUUAUUUAGAUCUUAUAAAUAAUAAAGAUUGGCACCUCGAUGUUGGCUUAUAUUUCCUUCCUAUAGUAACAUAUAAUGAUGGCAGCUUGUUCAUCUGUUAACAUUUACAUGAGUAGUUC